rnacentral:rRNA from 1 species
UACAGAGGGUGCAAGCGUUUGUUCGGAAUUAUUGGGCGUAAAGGGCGCGUAGGCGGUGCGGUAAGUCUGUAGUGAAAUCUCUGGCUCAACUCAGAGUCUGCUGCAGAAACUGCCGUGCUUGAGUGUGGGAGAGGUGAGUGGAAUUCCCGGUGUAGCGGUGAAAUGCGUAGAUAGUCGGGAGGAACACCUGUGGCGAAAGCGGCUCACUGGACCACAACUGACGCUGAGGCGCGAAAGCGUGGGGAGCAAACAGGG